rnacentral:rRNA from 1 species
GACGAACGCUGGCGGCGUGCUUAACACAUGCAAGUCGAACGGAAAGGCCCUGCUUUUGUGGGGUGCUCGAGUGGCGAACGGGUGAUUCACACGUGAGUAACCUGCCCUUGACUUUGGGAUAACUUCAGGAAACUUGGGCUAAUACCGGAUAGGAGCUCCUGCUGCAUGGUGGGGGUUGGAAAGUUUCGGCGGUUGGGGAUGGACUCGCGGCUUAUCAGCUUGUUGGUGGGGUAGUUGCUUACCAAGGCUUUGACGGGUAGCCGGCCUGAGAGGGUGACCGGGCACAUGGGGACUGAGAGACGGCCCAGACUGCUACGGGAGGCAGCAGUGGGGAAUAUUGCACAAUGGGCGGAAGCCUGAGGCAGAAACGCCGCGGGCGGGAUGAGGGCCUUCGGGUUGUAAACCGCUGUCGCCUGUGACGAAGCGUGAGUGACGGUAAUGGGUAAAGAAGCACCGGCUAACUACGUG